rnacentral:rRNA from 1 species
UACGGAGGGUGCAAGCGUUAUCCGGAUUCACUGGGUUUAAAGGGUGCGUAGGCGGGCAGGUAAGUCCGUGGUGAAAUCUCUGAGCUUAACUCAGAAACUGCCAUGGAUACUAUUUGUCUUGAAUAUUGUGGAGGUAAGCGGAAUAUGUCAUGUAGCGGUGAAAUGCUUAAGAUAUGACAUAGAACACCAAUUGCGAAGGCAGCUUACUACACAGUAAUUGACGCUCAUGCACGAAAGCGUGGGGAGCAAACAGG